GUGCUCACUUCAGCAUCACACAUACUAAAAUUGGAACAAUACAGAGAAAAUUACCCUAACACCUGCUCAACAAUGACAUACAAAUUCAUGAAGCAUUUCAUAUCUUU
ensembl:snRNA U6 U6 spliceosomal RNA